GGAUCUCGUUUCUGAUAAACAGAUGAUGCAAGAGGAGCAGCCUCUCCAGGUUGCUAGAUGCACUAAGAUUAUUAGUCCAAACACUGAAGAUGCCAAUUUGUGGUUGGCCUUGGCGAUAAAGUGUCUCCCACUGACAUUGAAGAAGGCAUGCGCGUUGGAGUUGAUAGGAAUAAGUAUCAGAUACAGAUUCCUCGACCUCCCAAAAUCGAUCCUAGUGUCACCAUGAUGACUGUUGAAGAGAAACCUGAUGUUACU